UGUAUUUGAUGUGAGAACAGCACAACAGUGUAUUUGAUGUGAGAACAGCACAGCAGUGUAUUUGAUGUGAGAACAGCACAGCAGUGUAUUUGAUGUGAGAACAGCACAGCAGUGUAUUUGAUGUGAGAACAGUGACUGAAGCUCAUGGGAACUACUGUAAACCACUGCUUUAGAAUUCUCUACUGCUGUGAAGAACCUUAUAAAACCAUGAGGGAUUUAUUGGUGUGGACUGUGAACAAUUAAAAUCACUGUUCAAAUUGAUUUCUGAUUUUACUUAAUUAAAAACAAUAUGAACUAUAAA